rnacentral:pre_miRNA from 1 species
UCUCAUGGAUGAGCAAAGAAAGUCGUUUCUUGGGAUGGUAUUUACUCCUGGUGAAGAUGCUGUGAA